GCCAGACAGAGAUAAAAGCUUGUAAGGGGUGUUUAAAUUGCAGGAGAGACAAUUUGCUUUUCUACAUGUUAGUGCUGCAUCACAGUGCAUUAGGAAAUGUCAAAUCAAAAUAAGUGAUGGUUUGGGGGCAGUUACUCGUGGGAUAAACAUUACAGGGGCACUAUAGUCACCAAAACAACCGUAUCCUAAUGAAGAGGUUUUUUUCUAUAUAGAUCAUGCACCUGUAGUCUCAC